rnacentral:rRNA from 1 species
UACGGGGGGAGCAAGCGUUGUUCGGAUUUACUGGGCGUAAAGGGCGCGUAGGCGGUCGUGACAAGUCACUUGUGAAAUCUCCGGGCUUAACUCGGAACGGUCAAGUGAUACUGUCGGACUAGAGUACAGAAGGGGCAACUGGAAUUCUCGGUGUAGCGGUGAAAUGCGUAGAUAUCGAGAGGAACACCUGCGGCGAAGGCGGGUUGCUGGGCUGAUACUGACGCUGAGGCGCGAAAGCCAGGGAGCGAACGGG